ensembl:misc_RNA 7SK 7SK RNA
GAAUAUGAAGGUGAUCUGGCUGUGGCAUCUUUCACUCAAUUAAAUCAGCCAGAGUUGAUUUAGUGUACCUAGCAAGCCAUACAGGUACCCCUUUCUCCCUCACAACUGUUAUGUGUUCCCUUCAAAGCUGCCUGCUCAGUGAGUUAGGACAGCUUUUGCCUGAAAGAAAAAGACUACCCUGCAGUUGUAGCUGUAGAUGUCUAUACUUCACUGCUAGCUUCUCCAAAUAACCCCAAAUAAUAUCUGUGUAGCUUUUGUACUAACCUAUGCUUCAUAUAAAAAAUAAUGUUUAAUUUUAAAGGCCUGGAUUUU